UUUUACCAUUCAUAACCUAAAUAGUGGUUUGGGUACAUAUUUAGAUAAUAAGUACACUAUAAUGUAAUUAUUGUUGUAAAACAAGAGAAUAGAAUCUAUGUUUACUUAUUAUUCAUAAACAUAAGGAGCCAUUUAUAUAUAGGGAAUUACACCGUCAUAGAAUAAUAGAAAGACUAAAGAAAGGAAAUACAAAUAUGAAAAUAGUACAAAUCAUAAUCUAAUAAGGAAAAGGCAAGAUGUCGAUUCUCUCUCUCUCUCUCUCCUCACGGUCGACUCUCUC
rnacentral:lncRNA from 1 species